rnacentral:rRNA from 1 species
CUGGUUGAUCCUGCCAGUAGUCAUAUGCUUGUCUCACAAGUAUUAAGCCAUGCAAGUCUAAGUAUAAGCAUUUAUACUGUGAAACUGCGGAAAGCUCAUUAUAUCAGUUAUAGUUUAUUUGAUGGUAACCCAACUACAUGGAUAACCGUAGUAAUUCUAGAGCUAAUACAUGCCCAGAAGCGGCGACUUCGGAAGCCGUGGACUUAUUAGAUCAAGAGCCAACCCUGCUUGCAGGACUGAGCUGAAUCAUAGUAAUUUUGCUAAUCGCAGAGGUCUCGUACCGGCGAUGGGUCAUUCAAAUUUCUGCCCUAUCAGCUGUGAUGUUAGUGUAGUGGACUAACAUGGCAUAAACGGGUGACGGAGGAUUAGGGUCUGAUUCCGGAGAGGGAGCCUGAGAAAUGGCUACCACUUCCAAGGAAGGCAGCAGGCGCGUAAAUUACCCAAUCCCGAUACGGGGAGGUAGUGACAAGAAAUAACAAUACCGGAUCUUUCUAGAUCUGGUAAUUGGAAUGAGUACAAUCUAAAAUCCUUAACAAGGACCAAUUGGAGGAAAAGUCUGGUGCCA